rnacentral:rRNA from 1 species
GAUGAACGCUGUCUACAGGCUUAACACAUGCAAGUCGAGGGGAAACGACGGGGAAGCUUGCUUCCCCGGGCGUCGACCGGCGCACGGGUGAGUAACGCGUAUCCAACCUGCCUCUGACUGAGGGAUAACCCGUCGAAAGUCGGCCUAAUACCUCAUGGCAUCGUCUGCGGGCAUCCAACGACGAUUAAAGAUUUCAUCGGUCAGGGAUGGGGAUGCGUCUGAUUAGCUUGUUGGCGGGGUAACGGCCCACCAAGGCUACGAUCAGUAGGGGUUCUGAGAGGAAGGUCCCCCACAUUGGAACUGAGACACGGUCCAAACGCCUACGGGAGGCAGCAGUGAGGAAUAUUGGUCAAUGGGCGGGAGCCUGAACCAGCCAAGUAGCGUGCAGGAUGACGGCCCUAUGGGUUGUAAACUGCUUUUAUGCGGGGAUAAAGUGAGGGACGUGUCCUUCAUUGCAGGUACCGCAUGAAUAAGGACCGGCUAAUUCCGUG